GACGAACGCUGGCGGCGUGCUUAACACAUGCAAGUCGAGCGGAAAGGCCCUGCUUUUGUGGGGUGCUCGAGUGGCGAACGGGUGAGUAACACGUGAGUAACCUGCCCUUGACUUUGGGAUAACUUCAGGAAACUGGGGCUAAUACCGGAUAGGAGCUCCUGCUGCAUGGUGGGGGGUGGAAAGUUUCGGCGGUUGGGGAUGGACUCGCGGCUUAUCAGCUUGUUGGUGGGGUAGUGGCUUACCAAGGCUUGGACGGGUAGCCGGCCUGAGAGGGUGACCGGCCACAUUGGGACUGAGAUACGGCCCAGACUCCUACGGGAGGCAGCAGUGGGGAAUAUUGCACAAUGGGCGGAAGCCUGAUGCAGCAACGCCGCGUGCGGGAUGACGGCCUUCGGGUUGUAAACCGCUUUCGCCUGUGACGAAGCGUGAGUGACGGUAAUGAGUAAAGAAGCACCGGCUAACUACGUG
rnacentral:rRNA from 1 species